UAGAACAGCAGCUGGUUAGAUGGGUCCGCACAGUAAUGAGGGCUAAGAAGAUCUUGCGCUCUCGGUUGAACUUCUGUUGGCCUUUCUUAUCAUAUUACCUCAUCUCCUAGCUGCAGGGACCGGCAAUCUUUCAAGGAGCUCAUCCCACUUACGCAGAGGAAGAAAAAUGGACUGUAAAAGGAGCCCAUGGGCAAGAGGCUCUAGAAGGGAGAGAAGAGCUUUUCAAUGGCGUCUGUUUGCUCCUGCCGACCAGCCUAACUUACUUCUGCCUUUAACUGGCUGAAGGAGAAGAGCUUACAGGGUGUUUGGUUCAGAGGGGGCUGUGAGGCCUCCAGAUGCUUUGAAAGGCCCCCCUGGCUCACCCUGGGGCUGGAGGAAGGCAGACUUUGACGGAGAGGAGAUCCAGGGAGUUGGUAAGCGUGCCUAGUCCUCUGGGCACUGGUCUUUUUAAAACUCUUUUGAAAAUUGUUCUGAAUUGUUCUGUCUUCAGAAAUCGUGAAUUUCUCUUGCAGCACAGGUUUUUCCCUCUCACGUUGGCCUCAUGGUCUCUUUUUAUACUAGGUCUGAUUGGUAGAGUGUAGAGAUUCCUGCUGUUGGGAAUUUCAGGAAGGUGACUAAAGCAUAAAUAAAAUGAAUGUUGGGCUCUUUCCUGAAUGUCA
rnacentral:lncRNA from 1 species